UUCUUUUGGUUCUGAAGGUCAUGUUACAGCAACCGGUGAGCACCAGGGUUUUCAACAAUGGGCAGACAACACUACAAGAAGCAGGACAAAUUGUUGCGAGGUAACCUAAAUCCUUAAGAUGGAGACGCUUUACUUGGAAAACAAGUUUGUUGGUUACCUCUCCAUCUCCGCCUCCUUCAUACAAGAUGAUGUUUUUCAUCCAAGAUCACUUGCUUAUAUACAUGGACUCUAAUUUCAUUAGACCUUUAACUAUGGACAGUGGGAACAGAAACCUCAAUGUGGAACAGCUCUCAAUUUGGAGGUCUCUUAAGUUUUGAAAUGCAAGAAAGUUUUGGCUGUUCCACACAUAUUUCAAAGCCGGUAUAUUACUCAAUUCCAUUUUAUCCAGGCAAGAGAGUAGUGUUGCAGUAGCAUGCCUUUCUUUGAAUUGUAGACCGUCAAGGUCAAAUAUUGUCUCAAAGAGAGAUUAAUUUAAUGGCAAGGCAUGCAUACCACUCUCUGAGUAAAAAUUGUAAAUUUGUUGAUCUGAGAAAUGCAGAUAGAUUCUUGGAGUCACUACUAUAAUAGUUUGGUGUUUCAAGUUAACUAUUGAUAAGGUUCUCUGUACCGUUACUCCAAAAAACUAAAUUAUGUGGUACACGAUAUUUGGCAAAAGAAAAUAGAAGUAAACAUCCAAUCGUUUUAAUCGCAGUAACUGAUGUACCAAAGAGAUGAAAUCAAGAAAGGAAAGCAAUUUACUAUCAGGACCCGCCUGAGUUAAGAACCACACCAAAGGAAAAGUAAAAUGAAACGAACAAACUAAAGCAUCAACCCAAAGCGAAACGAAAAACCAAACAUAGAUAGAGAGUAACUAUAGUACUACUAGUUGGAUUAAAGAGCAGCAACGGUCUGUUAGUCAUAAGUUUUAAGACCAUUCCCAUGACUUUCACAAAGCAAAAUUCAAUUCAAAAUGUGGCAGCUCCUUCGGAUAAUGCUUACGGUUAUCUUAUUACGUUACGACUCAGCAAGAAAAUUGAAAAUAACUGCAAAUACCAGCAAACAAGACAUACUCUUCAUUUUCUAUCUCCAAGGCCACAAUUGUUGAAAGUUCGAAAGCUCAGGCUUAUUGAUUCAAAGGGCAAUUCAGUCUAAUGAUCACAAAUUUUCGAUAAACACAUUUGAUUUACCACUUGUCUUUUUCUUUCUCAGCUAUUCAUUCCGCAUACAAUCUACUUUGAUAUGAUCCACAUAUGUAUGACUCCAUAACCAAUCACAACCCAGUUCAAGUAACCAAAUUUGAAGCAAAACCCACAAAUUCGGACUAAAAAAGUGUUGCCUUGACAGAAAUGGUUCCAGCAGUUUCCCAAUUCGGACCUCAUUCCAAGGAUCCCUGUACUGCUCCCUCAGUAUAAAAUCAGUAGAGAAAUUGUAGAGAAUUGUAGUCCUGCUCUGAGACGGAGUCUUGUUCAGCAAUUCGCUCUGCGGAGGAGCGUCUGCUGGUGGGUCCAAGAGCCUCUCGAACAUGUGAGACCUCGCUUCCCACAGUGCCUGGGUCACCGGCGAGUGGAACAUUCUGGGCCACAGGCUGAUGGGCUUCCGGGUCAAAGAGUCCGACCCAAAAGCGGGGAGGGUUGCCACUACCGGAAUGGUGGUGUUGGAAUUGGAAUUGGAAUUGGAAGGAGAUGAAUUUGGGUCCAUGGAGUUCUUGGAAUUUUGAUUUCUGGGGAAUCAGGGGAUACAGUUUAUGGAAUUGACUUGAUUCCGUUCCGAUUUGGUCAAGUACUUUUGCGUUUAUGGUUCGCGGCCUCCGUAAAUAUGGGGGCUAUACACUUGCCACCUAACUCCUUAUGAAUUGUAAUUUGCCCUGCUACUUUUCCCAUAGUUUGCUCAUUACGCUUGCCACCUGUUGAUCUGUUGAGCCACCACCUAAUUACUUUGAGCGAUGGCGGGUCGCCCUUUCUCUGCUGCGCAGAAGAGACAGGAGCUGAAAGAGAGACGUUGUUUGCUUGGCAGAAAGAGAGUUGAAGAGGUGGAUUGAUAGAGGGCGACAUACGCAGAGGUUGUAUUCGUUUUGCCCAGGCGUUGUUGAGGUUGUUAUUGAUUUUGAAGCUUAUGGAUUUUCAGGGAGGAUGAGCAUAGUAUCAAAAGAAAUUGACUGAGGAAUGUGCAACCAAUAAUUUUCCUUAAUCUGUUUCAGUUUUUGCUAAAUUCUGUCAUUUCCAGUGUUUUCUGAAAUCUAACUCACUCAAUUUAAUGCCUUUUAUUUUAUUCUUUAGGUGAGACAGAGAUGAUUGUUCCUCUUCUUUGCUACAGAAAUUGAGCCGCUGGAGUUGCAACAACUAUGUUAUAUAUAUACGGAGCGGAUCAAGAGAGGACGUCAGCACUUUCGCUAAAGUGCGGACGACGGCGCUGCAGCCCAACUCAGGCCACGACGGUGCGGCGCCAGUUGCCGGAGGGAGGCCAGGGGUUGGACGGACCAGUCUGCAGUCGGGUGGAGUCGCCGGCGACGAGGUUGUAGCGCUGCAGGUCAGGUUGCAGUUGCAGGUGAGGUUGCUGCCCAGAAACCUGCAACCUCGACCUCCUCCGACCUCGAUCGCUGUCCAGAAGCCGUCUGGGAUGCUUCCGGCCUCCUUCCGGCCCGAUUCGCGCCCCCUUUUGCAUCUAUGACAACUCCAAUAACAAAUAACCAUGACCCUUUUGCAUUUUCUAUGAGUAGCAGAGCUCUGCACAAAGCUAUUGGGUGCGGUCUUGGUUUCAGGGUGACAUUGUCUUUGCAUCUGUUAUGGCAACUCUUGGACUGCAAAUAUUGCUCGAGUCUGCUUGAGAACUGAUCUCAAAGGUAAGCGAUCCAUUUGUUUUCCCUACUCCAACCUGAAAAUUGGAGCCGAACGAUCUCUAGAUUUCGGACUCUGAUUCGGUUGGUUUUGUGGAAUGUAUUGCUGAUAUGCUCCCUUUUAACUGGCUUCUUAGAGGGUUCCAAUUUGGCAUAUUGAAAAGAUUUCUGUGGAGGCAUAUCCAUAAAUUUUCACUGUUAUUGUAUCACCUGAAUUAGCAAAUCAUAAGAGUUAAAAACUGGAUUGCUAAGUUCUGUUAUUCUAUAUAUUCAGUAGUUCGGUCA